rnacentral:rRNA from 1 species
GACGAACGCUGGCGGCGUGCUUAACACAUGCAAGUCGAACGGAAAGGCCCUGCUUUUGUGGGGUGCUCGAGUGGCGAACGGGUGAGUAACACGUGAGUAACCUGCCCUUGACUUUGGGAUAACUUCAGGAAACUGGGGCUAAUACCGGGUAGGAGCUCCUGCUGCAUGGUGGGGGUUGGAAAGUUUCGGCGGUUGGGGAUGGACUCGCGGCUUAUCAGCUUGUUGGUGGGGUAGUGGCUUACCAAGGCUUUGACGGGUAGCCGGCCUGAGAGGGUGACCGGCCACAUUGGGACUGAGAUACGGCCCAGACUCCUACGGGAGGCAGCAGUGGGGAAUAUUGCACAGUGGGCGGAAGCCUGAUGCAGCAACGCCGCGUGCGGGAUGACGGCCUUCGGGUUGUAAACCGCUUUCGCCUGUGACGAAGCGCGAGUGACGGUAAUGGGUAAAGAAGCACCGGCUAACUACGUG